GCAUUAGUGGUGUAAUGGUUAACAUGUGGUCUUCCCAAAGCGAAAGACGUUCGGGGUCGGAUUCCCCGCUAAUGCA
rnacentral:tRNA from 1 species